UACGGGGGGGGCAAGCGUUGUUCGGAAUUACUGGGCGUAAAGGGCUCGUAGGCGGCCAACUAAGUCGGACGUGAAAUCCCCAGGCUCAACUUGGGAACUGCGUCUGAUACUGGAUGGCUUGAAUUCGGGAGAGGGAUGCAGAAUUCCAGGUGUAGCGGUGAAAUGCGUAGAUAUCUGGAGGAAUACCGGUGGCGAAGGCGGCAUCCUGGACCGAUACUGACGCUGAGGUGCGAAAGCGUGGGGAGCAAACAGG
rnacentral:rRNA from 1 species